rnacentral:rRNA from 1 species
GAUGAACGCUGGCGGCGUGCUUAACACAUGCAAGUCGAGCGAGAAGUUUUGAAAAGAUUCUUCGGAUGAAAUUUAAAAUGGAAAGCGGCGGACGGGUGAGUAACGCGUAGGCAACCUGCCCCAUACAAAGGGAUAGCAUUUGGAAACGAAUAUUAAUACCUUAUGAAACUUAACUAGUGCAUGCUAGGUAGGUCAAAGAUUUAUCGGUAUGGGAUGGGCCUGCGUCUGAUUAGCUAGUUGGUGAGGUAACGGCUCACCAAGGCGACGAUCAGUAGCCGACCUGAGAGGGUGAACGGCCACAUUGGAACUGAGACACGGUCCAAACUCCUACGGGAGGCAGCAGUGGGGAAUAUUGCACAAUGGGGGAAACCCUGAUGCAGCACCGCCGCGUGAACGAUGAAGGCCUUUGGGUCGUAAAGUUCUGUUCUAGGUGAUGAAAACUGACAGUAACCUAGGAGAAAGCCCCGGCUAACUCCGUG